rnacentral:rRNA from 1 species
AACGAACGCUGGCGGCGUGCUUAACACAUGCAAGUCGAACGCGAAAGUUUUCUUCGGAAGACGAGUAGAGUGGCGCACGGGUGAGUAACGCGUAAGUUAUCUACCUCGGCAUCUGGAAUAACUCACCGAAAGGUGUGCUAAUACCGGAUACGUUGAGUAAUCAAGAAAGGUGGCCUCUGAAUAUGCUACUGUGCUGAGAUGAGCUUGCGUACCAUUAGCUAGUUGGUAGGGUAAUGGCCUACCAAGGCAACGAUGGUUAGCGGGUCUGAGAGGAUGAUCCGCCACACUGGAACUGAAACACGGACCAGACUCCUACGGGAGGCAGCAGUGAGGAAUAUUGCGCAAUGGGGGCAACCCUGACGCAGCGACGCCGCGUGGAUGAUGAAGGCCUUCGGGUCGUAAAAUCCUGUCAAGUGGAAAGAAGUGCAUGGUGGCUAAUACCUGCCAUGUUUGACGGUACCACUGAAGGAAGCACCGGCUAACUCCGUGCCAGCAGCCGCUGU